AGCCCUGUAGUGAUUCCACAUCAAAUUGCAAAUUUGAAAAAGUUCCUUUUUGGUUCCGGGGCUU
rnacentral:tRNA from 1 species